GCCGAUGCGGCUGUGGCUUGAGCUUCCCAUAUUUCGUGUAUUGUCUUUGGUUUUGGAUGGGGUAAAUCACUUGGGAGAAUUACCUAUGCCGUACAACUCUUGGUAUCCUACGAUGCAUCAAGACACCACUAUUUGCUACAGUCCUUGCGGGGGGGGUUGUUAGCGUCGUUCCUCUGCCAAGAGUUAUAUUCCCAACGAUGUGAAUCUCCCCCAAGGUACUAGUCCAUCAACCUUCUAUUGACAGAUGCAUCGAGAGUUACAUUCCCAACGCAUUAUCGACUUACAAAUAACUUGUACUGCCCCAUGUAUUCACAAAGGGGCACUUGCAUGCUACUUAAGUGUAAGCCAUGCAUACCUGCUUCCACUUUGUUGGUAUCAGGUAUACAAAACAGACAAAACCCUACUCGUAAAAUGUUCAAAAACAGGAGCAUUAGAAGAUUUUAAAAUUAUGAGACGACAUUUACCAUAAUUAGUGUUGCUGUAAAAUGGAAAACACACAAAGAUUAAGACUGGCUUUGCUCUGCUGUAGGUAUACCCAAAUGCUCUGGGCAAGCUGUAACUGAUCUUGGCCCAAGUGACAAAUCAGAUCACCACACACCCACUGCAAAUGGAUCUCUUAAUGUUUAAAUGGUUUCUAUUUUUUCUCAAAGCCCUAGAGAUGUCCUUAAACUAGUUUCCACCCUAGUAUGAACUUGGCAUUAAGCUUCUUAUAUAGUUUUCAUAGUCCUCAGUCAAAGUUUGUUAUUGAUUUAUAUCAAGAGUUCCACUAGAAAAUGUUUUGUAAUUUAGUUUCGAGAUCUUGCAUUAUUGUCAUAUGUAAACCAUCAGUACUUUUACUUUGAAACUUAGGCUACUGAACUCCUUUGUUUAAUACCUAGAGUAGGGGAUGAUAGCCUGAAGCAUAUACAAGCCUACACUUUUAAGAUGUAUUUCAUAAUGUAGUUUAGUUUUAUCCAGAUGAAGAACUUCCCCCUAUUAUGAAAAAUUAAACAAUAUGCAUUGAAUUUUGUGUAAGGUUUACAUGACAAUAAUGCUUUGUGCUUAACAUUAGACAUAAAUCAGUUCUAAGUUGAUACUAUAAAUAUUAGAGAGAAUCUUAUCAAUAGCAUUAUUGUCAUAUUAAUAUGUGCAUUUUUCGAGACAAUGCUGGCAUGUGAAUGUUUAAAACUGAGAAUGUUGCUUUAAGUAUAUUUGGUAUUGAUGACAGUGGUAUUGUUGAUAAAUGAUAUAACAAGUCAACUCAGAAAUUCAGUGCUGUUUUAAAGGGAAUCAGUAUAGUACUCAAUUUAAAUGUGUUAGUUCGAGGAUCAUUUUUAUUUUUUACAGUAUUCUUUAAGUGACUGAAUCUUUAAGGGAUCUCAAAUUCAAAGUGCAACUUUAAAAUAAGUUAGGUAAUAUUAACAAUGAUCUAGUGAAAGUGUUCUUUUAAGGGAAGUUUUACUGGGAAAUAACUGGUACAUAAUGUGUAUUAUUCAGCAUUUUCAGUUAGAGGUGUUUCAUACCUUAAUAUUACGUUGAUUGGUAGACUUUUACUCUAGAACACUAAAUAUUUUCCAUACCUUUGUUGUAGGAGUGAAAUUCAUUGUUUAGUGAAGUACACACCUAGUAUAUAAUUUAAUGUUCAUAUAAAGGGAUUGAUUUCCCAUGAAAGGUUAAGUUAUUGUAGGUGAGGUCAAAUUAGUUGAGCAGCAAAUUAGAAGGGAUGGGAUGGAAAGAUAAGUGUAAGAAAUUAGCAGUCAGGAUAUUUUUUAUGCAUGUAUUUACUCAGAGAAUAGUUAUUAGAAAUGAAAUUUUUGCAAAAUAAUUCUGGCUCAGGUUAAGAACUCAAUUGACUGUGUUUGUAAUAAAAUUUUAACUAGAUAUAUCUUUGGUACAUUUGGCUUUUUUAAUGCAAAUUGUUAGGGAGAUUUGCAUUUAUUCUUAUUUACAGAUUUUGUAAAAUUUAGUUUGUAAAAUUUUGAAUUCACAAUGCAAAAGUGUCUUGAUAUACAGUUUUUGUAGGUUACGGUAUUGUAUUAAUCAGUUUUGUUUUGUUUUGUUUGGGUAAAUUUGUUUCAUACAGUUCCAGUGAAUGUAAGUUAAUUGCCAAGAUCAAGGUUCAUGUUUAAUGUUAAAACUUAACUUUUAAAUUUGGAUAAUGGUAAAAUUAUUGUAAUACCAAAUUGUAUUGAUUUUGUCUGUCAUGGCGCUUUUUUUUUUCCAGGUAAAAUUCAUGCAUUUGUCAUUUAUUAGCACAGCAGAGUAGGGCUAAAAUUCAAUGAAAACUUAUAGUGGCUGCAAAAUAUCAAUUGAAUGUAAGUUAAAUCUAGAUUUGAUAAACUUUUUAAUCUUAUAUUGGUAGGUAAUGAAAAUUAUGUAAAUAUUUGGAUGUAGAGAUAUUUUCUUGUGCCACCAUAUUGUUGAGUAGUUCAUGUUUUGCAACCGAUUCAAAGCGAUGUUUUCUAAGGUGACAGCAGUUUGCUAUGUUGAAGUAAAGCCUUUUAUGCUUUUCUUAUCCUUUUCCAGAUGUAGUCUAGUUUUCUGUCACUGAUGAGGAAUGUUAGACAUUUUUAAAUGUCAAAAAAAAUUAGUGUACGUAUAGGAAGUCCAAGGAGGGUGUGGUAAAUAUGGUAAAGUUACUGUUUGAGACAAGUCUUAACAGUCACUCAUAUGACUUUGAUAUCGUAAACAAAGAAAUACUUGAUUUGCAUACAAACUUUGAUUCCUGUAUUUAAUCUCAUAGCAGACUAGAAACAGUCAAGCAAAAGACUGGUAUGAUUAUGUAUUUUGAAUGUAUUAAUUGUUGUACUGUUGGCAUUGCAGCUGACAUAAUUCUUUUCUUAGAGAUGUGUACAAAUUUAUACUUGUAAGAAUUUGUGGAUAGGAGUAUUUGAUCUGUCUUCAGAGCAACUUGUUUACGAUAUAAAAUUUACUUAUUAAGGAUAACUGAUUAAAAUUGUUUCAUCUAGUUAGAUGCAGAAGUACUCCGUCUGCAUGACUUCAAAUUCUUCCAUCAUUUUCCAAGAAAAGUUCCUUUAGCAGAAAUUUUAAUACUUAUAAGUAAAUUAUGACAUCCCGUGCAAAUUUGUUGAUGUAUUAAGGAAAUUCUAACUUGGAGAACCUAUUUUCUUGGGCAGAAUUUAUUUUUAUUGAUGCAGAAUUUGAUUGACUGUAUCUUGUUGUUUUAUAUGGUGUAUACAUGAAAAUGUUUCAUAAGAUUAAUUUCCGUAUUAAAUAUCAUUUAUAUUCUACCAGAUGUCUGUAAAAAUCUAAAUUAAAUCUUACCAGAACAUUAGGAAUGUUGUAAGUUAUCUUUUUUUUUUUACCAGUAGAUGACAAUGCUUUUAAUUAUAUUUUGGACACAUGCCAUCCUUGCAAAAGGGGAUACAUCAGUUUAUGAUGGUUAAUUGACUCAUGUGUUCAGAAGUUUCCUCUGAAGGUUUGUAGACUGAGAGUCAUAUUGGCUUGCUGAGCCUUGUGUCGGCUGUUAGAAUUGGAGAUGCAUAUCCAAAGUAACAAUUUUAAAUAUUGGUGAUGUGCUUUUGUGGUAUUUUGUUACCGAAAGGAUUUGUGAUAACAGGUUUUAUUUUACUGGUUUAUUGAUAUUUAAAUAUACAGCCGGUAUAGCUUUUCUGUUGCUUCAAAAGGUUCUUCGCAGGCCUUGCUUAGUCAGGCUAACUCAAAAAGUCAUGAAAAUGUCAACUGGUUUUACAGUUAAUAUACACGAUCUUUGAUGACUUGAUUUAAGGUGCCGGUAUGAUAUAGGAUGGAGAUUUUCAUGGUGUUUCCAUUGCUUCAUUUACCCUGUUAGAUGUCAGGCUUGUGGUGAUUAAAGGUUGUGAUGACCUUAUUUUGGACCAAAGAAAAAGUUUGGAUUAUUACAGUUUAGUUUAGAAUAUUGACAUAAGUUCAUGAGGGUGUGGUGUUUGACAUUUUGAUGAUGUAUGAUGACAAUGGGUUUAAUAAUUCGAUAUCAGGUGGUACAAGUGGAUUUAUUUCUCGGCAAUUUGUUGGUGACAGUGUCCAUGGUAUUAAAAGAUUUCUUUGUGACAGCGGAAUUCAGUUUUCGGAAAUCCUUUGGUGGCAGCAGAGUUAUUGCUGGUGUUUGUAACAAGUCCAUGAUUCAAGAAAAAAUUGGCUUAAGAUCAUUCGGAUACAAUUGAAGUAUGCUUUUUAUAUUUUCAUUACGUUGGUUGGUCAUAUUCUCACUAAAGGGAUUCUGUUAGUUUCUGAUUGUUUGUCCUUCAGGGAAUCUGUUGGCUUUAAUGGUUUUCCCAUCAAGAAGCUGUUAGGUUUGAUACUUUGUCUUAAAAGAAUGAACUUUUUUAGGUUAUUUGCUAUAAAGUCCAUUAGGUUGUGAUUUUUUUGGUAGUCUUACUAACAACUGUUUGUUAGGUUUGUUGCCGAAGCCUUUAGUUUAUUUUUA